CAGCCUACAUCUUUCUCCCAUGCUGGUUGCUUCCUGCCCUAGAACAUCAGACUCCAAGUGCUUCAGCUUUGAGACUCAGACUCGCUUCCUUGCUCCUCAGCUUGCAGAUGGCCUGUUGUGGCACCUUGUGACUGUCAUAAUCCUGUCCCGAAGAAGCCUCCAGAUGCCUUCAGAAUCAAGCUAGACAUUUCCUCACUUGCAACUUGGAGUUUUUCUCAAAUACCCAAAGAGAAGACACUCACGUGAUAACAGCAUUAAAUAGUCUGCCUGUGACAAGCAAUUUGGAUUUUAUCGGAGUUAAUGCAAGGGACAUGAAAAAGAAUGGUUUGAACCAUCUGGACCUGAGCUAAAUGCAAAUUCAGAGAAGAAUAGCAUGAUGCAGGGAAGACUUGGUACACUCGUGCUUACUAAGAGAGUCUUCUAAUGAAGGAGGUGUUACUCUCUCCAAAUGGAAUCAUGCCAGCAUGAAAAAGAUAUGGAACACAGCCCAUGUUAGCCCUCGAACAACAUGAAAUAGUGUCAAUCUGUUAGCUAGUCUACAUAGAAAGACGGAGAAUGGAGAGAGAUGCCGAUUAUAAACACCAGUUCUGUGCUUUAUGAUCUUUGAACUCCAGAAGCUAUUUCUAAAGAAGAGGAUUCGCAUCUGAGGCACAGGAGACUUCCAUAAAGGAAAGCACAUCUGCAUAAACAGUUCAUGUUCUCAUUCAGCGUUCCUGCCUGAAGGUUUCAUCAGUUCAUUUUUCCUCUGAUGUGAUGCUUACUUCUAUUGCUCUUUAACCACAUUCUCUUUUUAAGUGUUUCCUUUCCCUUUCCCAAGGACAUGCCAUUUGGUAGACUUAGA